UCUGUGAUAUUGGGGCAUUGCUGACCUGC
rnacentral:piRNA from 1 species